GAUGAACGCUGGCGGCGUGCCUAAUACAUGCAAGUCGAGCGAACAGACGAGGAGCUUGCUCCUCUAACGUUAGCGGCGGACGGGUGAGUAACACGUGGAUAACCUACCUAUAAGACUGGGAUAACUUCGGGAAACCGGAGCUAAUACCGGAUAAUAUAUUGAACCGCAUGGUUCAAUAGUGAAAGACGGUUUUGCUGUCACUUAUAGAUGGAUCCGCGCCGCAUUAGCUAGUUGGUAAGGUAAAAGCUUACCAAGGCAACGAUGCGUAGCCGACCUGAGAGGGUGAUCGGCCACACUGGAACUGAGACACGGUCCAGACUCCUACGGGAGGCAGCAGUAGGGAAUCUUCCGCAAUGGGCGAAAGCCUGACGGAGCAACGCCGCGUGAGUGAUGAAGGUCUUCGGAUCGUAAAACUCUGUUAUUAGGGAAGAACAAAUGUGUAAGUAACUAUGCACGUCUUGACGGUACCUAAUCAGAAAGCCACGGCUAACUACGUG
rnacentral:rRNA from 1 species